rnacentral:rRNA from 1 species
AUUUCCUACGGGGCGCAGCAGUGGGGGAUAUUGGGCAAUGGGGGGAACCCUGAUCCAGCGACGCCGCGUGAGUGAAGAAGUAUUUCGGUAUGUAAAGCUCUGUCAGCAGGGAAGAAAGAAAUGACGGUACCUGACCAAGAAGCCCCGGCUAACUACGUGCCAGCAGCCGCGGUAAUACGUAGGGGGCAAGCGUCAUCCGGAUUUACUGGGUGUAAAGGGUGCGUAGGUGGCAGGGCAAGUCAGAUGUGAAAGCCCGGGGCUCAACCCCGGUACUGCAUUUGAAACUGUCCAGCUGGAGUGCAGGG